rnacentral:rRNA from 1 species
AUAAGCGGAGGAAAGAACUAACAAGGAUUCCCUUAGUAACUGCGAGUGAAGYGGGAAAAGCUCAAAUUUGAAAUCUGGCAGUCUUUUUUUCUCUUCUUUGGCUGUCUGAGUUGUAAUCUAGAGAAGUGCUUACCUGUGCUGGACCAUGUAUAAGUCUCCUGGAAUGGAGCGUCACAGAGGGUGAGAAUCCCGUCUUUGACAUGGACUGCCAGUAUGUUGUGGUGUGCUCUCAAAGAGUCGAGUUGUUUGGGAAUGCAGCUCUAAAUGGGUGGUAAACUCCAUCUAAAGCUAAAUAUUGGCGAGAGACCGAUAGCGAACAAGUACCGUGAGGGAAAGAUGAAAAGGACUUUGGAAAGAGAGUUAAACAGUAUGUGAAAUUGUUGAAAGGGAAACGCUUGAAGUCAGUUAUGUUGGCUGGGGAUCAGCCUGGCUUUUUGCUGGGUGAACUUCCUAGUCUGACAGGCCAACAUCAGUUCUGACUGCUGGAAAAGAGCA